rnacentral:lncRNA from 1 species
UCCGCACAAAAUUUGAAAUAUGACCAUCCGCAUUCUUUCCCAGACGGUCUCCUCUAAGAGAUGUGAGUGCAAUUGGUCGACUUUCGUCCUUAUCUACGACAAAUAGAAAAAUUAUCUGACAUAGAAAUACCUCAAUGAUCUUGUAUACGUGCAAUAUAAUUUAAGAUUGAGGCUAAAAUGCAUUCAGAAUGAAGUACAGCUGAAGUACACUGAUCUGAC